UACGAAGGGGGCUAGCGUUGCUCGGAAUGACUGGGCGUAAAGGGCGCGUAGGCGGAUGGUACAGUCAGAUGUGAAAUUCCCGGGCUUAACCUGGGGGCUGCAUUUGAUACGUAUUGUCUUGAGUUCGGAAGAGGGUCGCGGAAUUCCCGGUGUAGAGGUGAAAUUCGUAGAUAUCGGGAGGAACACCGGUGGCGAAGGCGGCCUUCUGGACAGUGACUGACGCUGAGACGCGAAAGCGUGGGGAGCAAACAGG
rnacentral:rRNA from 1 species